rnacentral:rRNA from 1 species
UACGUAGGGGGCAAGCGUUGUCCGGAAUCAUUGGGCGUAAAGAGCGUGUAGGCGGCCCGGUAAGUCCGCUGUAAAAGUCAAAGGCUCAACCUUUGAAUGUCAGUGGAUACUGCCGGGCUAGAGUCCGGAAGAGGCGAGUGGAACUCCUGGUGUAGCGGUGGAAUGCGCAGAUAUCAGGAAGAACACCAACGGCGAAGGCAGCUCGCUAGGACGGUACUGACGCUGAGACGCGAAAGCGUGGGAGGCGAACAGG